rnacentral:snRNA from 1 species
GUGCUUGCUUUGGCAGCACACAUACUAAAAGUGGAACCAUACCGAGAAGAUGAACGUGGCCCCUGUGCAAGGAUGACCUGCAAAUUCGUGAAGCGUUCCAGUAAAGA